CAGCAGCCGCGGUAAUACGAAGGGUGCAAGCGUUACUCGGAAUUACUGGGCGUAAAGCGUGCGUAGGUGGUCGUUUAAGUCCGUUGUGAAAGCCCUGGGCUCAACCUGGGAACUGCAGUGGAUACUGGACGACUAGAGUGUGGUAGAGGGUAGCGGAAUUCCUGGUGUAGCAGUGAAAUGCGUAGAGAUCAGGAGGAACAUCCAUGGCGAAGGCAGCUACCUGGACCAACACUGACACUGAGGCACGAAAGCGUGGGGAGCAAACAGGAUUAGAUACCCUGGUAGUCCACGCCCUAAACGAUGCGAACUGGAUGUUGGGUGCAAUUUGGCACGCAGUAUCGAAGCUAACGCGUUAAGUUCGCCGCCUGGGGAGU
rnacentral:rRNA from 1 species